rnacentral:rRNA from 1 species
UACAGAGGGGGCAAGCGUUGUCCGGAAUCAUUGGGCGUAAAGCGCGCGUAGGUGGCUUCGUAAGUCCGUUGUGAAAGUCAAAGGCUCAACCUUUGAAAGCCGAUGGAUACUGCGGAGCUAGAGUACGGAAGAGGCGAGUGGAAUUCCUGGUGUAGCGGUGGAAUGCGCAGAUAUCAGGAGGAACACCAAUAGCGAAGGCAGCUCGCUGGGACGUUACUGACACUGAGGCGCGAAAGCGUGGGGAGCGAACAGG